UACGUAGGGUGCGAGCGUUAAUCGGAAUUACUGGGCGUAAAGCGUGCGCAGGCGGUUUUGUAAGCCAGAUGUGAAAGCCCCGGGCUUAACCUGGGAAUGGCAUUUGGGACUGCAAGGCUUGAGUGCGGCAGAGGAGACUGGAAUUCCUGGUGUAGCAGUGAAAUGCGUAGAUAUCAGGAGGAAUACCGAUGGCGAAGGCAGGUCUCUGGGCUGACACUGACCCUCAUGCACGAAAGCGUGGGGAGCAAACAGG
rnacentral:rRNA from 1 species